UAAGAGAAAAUGAGAUGAACA
rnacentral:piRNA from 1 species